rnacentral:rRNA from 1 species
AUUGAACGCUUGCGUCAGGCCUAACACAUGCAAGUCGGGCGAGCGGCGGACGGGUGAGUAAUGUAUGGGGACUGCCUGAUGGCGGGGGAUAACUACUGGAAACGUUCGCUAAUACCUCAUACCAUCAGAUAACCCAUAUGGGCUUAGCUUGUAGGUGAGGUAACGGAUCACAUAGGCGACGAUCCCUAGCUGGUCUGAGAGGAUGAUCAGCCAGCCUGGGACUGAGAAAGGGCCCAGACUACAAGGGAGGACGCAGUGGUGAAGAUGGCACGCUGGGCGUAAGCCUGAUGCAGCUAUGCGGCGUAUAUGAAGAAGGCCUACGAGUUGUAAAGUGCUUUCCGUCGGGAGGCGUUACCGACUGAAGGAGCGCCGGCUAACUCCGUGCCAGCAGCCGCGGUAAUUC